CCAGCAUAUAACAAGUGUUUCGAGCAGGGGAAAGGAUUCCUCCGAGGCAUCUCACCUUGAGAUAUCUAAGAACACCAGUUUCAAGAACUUUAGUUUAUGGAAUGUGAUAUCUCCGAGGCAUCACUCUUCUGAUUGACGAAAUUGCCUCUGACACUGAAUGGUCAUGCUUAAUUGGAGAUACUCCAGGCUUGGUAGUCCUACAAUGAAGGGAAUCACGCUUUCUAUACGAGUACUCAUAAGUAAGGAAAGGCGAAGCAUUUGAAGCUGGGUAAGACUCUCAAUUUUUAGACAAAUCUCUGCAGAAUCUGCAUCACCCGAUAAAAUGAUGUCAAGUUGUUAUUAGAUUCGGACACCUCCGUAAUAACACAUCCGCCCUAUCACCUUCAUGAAUUAUAACUCGCCUUAAUAUCCUCAAAUUUUUCAAUUUAGAGGAUUCUUCAAACAUCCCCUGCAUAUGGUUUUCCCAUUUCAAAUCUAAUUCAGCUUCACCAACCUCAACAUGCCUUAAUUUUUCCAUCUUCCAAAAAAUCGCUAGUAACACCAUAAACUUGAAUAAACCCUCCACAAUUAAAGUUUCUAGAUGGGGCAGAUGUGGUUCUGGAUGGAAAUUGAAUUCAUUUGUGGAAACUGCGAGGUACUUCAGAGAACUUUGCAUUGAGAUUGUCCCAAUAUUCCUUUGAAUGAGGAUUCUUCUCAGCAGGCGCAAAGUUGACUGAAAACUUGCUUGAUGGUGACUUUCACAAGGUCUUACAGAGAGAUUAUCAGAAUGCUCUGUAAGGUAAAGCCCUUGGAAAAUUAUGCCGAUAAAAUACCAUUUCCUCGGACCCCUUUCAGUUAAUUAAGGUGAUAGAUGACUAUGACCUGCGCUGGAUACAUAACAUACAUAAUAGUAUAGGAAAGUAUUUUCACAUGUUUGAGGGAAUGGAUUGUAGUCUCCCUAUAUGGUCUCGGGGUGAUUCUCCCUGGUGAGCUUGCUUUUUUAGGUUGUGGUAGUCCCAAGGACCAUAUUUUCACACUGUAUCAGAACAAGGCCCAUCGUUCCCUAUUGUUGCGUUUCUCAAUGUUGGCCCCUCGUAAUUCAUGCAGCAGUAAGUCCUGAGGGUGUGGGGAAACCUUCUUGUAUUCCAGCAAUACUACUGGUAUUAAGCUAUGGAUUUUGUACAUGCACUCAUACAUACUUAUAUGAAGCGAGACGUAUAUUAUGGAUUGCUCCUAAAUUAUUUGGCAUUAAGCUACCAAAACUUUACCUUCAAAUCAGUUUUCAUACAGGAAUACUCAUCUUUCAAUUCACCUUAGUAUUCUAUGCUGCUAAAUUUUGAAAUUUAUUGAUUAAUGGUA